ACGUUGUAUGAAAGGAGCGAAGGUUAGCACUCCCCUUGACAAAGAUGGAAGAGGCUCUCGGGCCUGACAACAUGCAUAUGCUUAAGACAUGAUAGAAUCAUAGAGCAAUUAAGCCAGGAGAUAC
rnacentral:ncRNA from 1 species